rnacentral:siRNA from 1 species
GUGAAGAUUACGUAAGGAGCUCCA